rfam:Enterobacter aerogenes KCTC 2190, complete genome.
GGUAUGAUGGCGUUUGCCAGCGGCGUAGCUCACUUUACGCCGCGGCGUACGUUCUAUAACGUGCAAAAAUACUUUUCAGAAUGCC